AAAAACUUGGAGUUUGAAGCUCGGUCAUAAUGAAACCAAACUCCAUGCCAUAUGAUAUGAAAGGAGGUGCUAGAGUGGUGCACAUACAAAGACUCAAAAAGAAAACCUUAACACUAGAUAUCUUUAAAAUAUUCACUCAUUGCACACUUCAAAAAUGAGGUUUGAGUCUCCUUAAAUAGAAAUGAAAUUUGGGGCUUUUCUUCUUGUGGAUAUGCAUUUAGUUUUGUCAAUAGUAUUUGCAAAUUUAAAUAUAAUUUAAAUAUGAUUUGAUUGUAGCACCUCAAAU
rnacentral:lncRNA from 1 species